UACGUAGGGGGCAAGCGUUGUCCGGAAUCAUUGGGCGUAAAGAGCGUGUAGGCGGCUCGGUAAGUCCGCUGUGAAAGUCCAGGGCUCAACCCUGGAAUGCCGGUGGAAACUGUCGAGCUAGAGUCCGGAAGAGGCGAGUGGAAUUCCGUGGUCGUAGCGGUGAAAUGCGCAGAUAUCAGGAGGAACACCAAUGGCGGAAGGCAGCUCGCUGGGACGGUACUGACGCUGAGACGCGAAAGCGUGGGGAGCGAACAGG
rnacentral:rRNA from 1 species